ACGGAAGGCAGCAGUGGGGAAUAUCGCACAAUGGGCGAAAGCCUGAUGCAGCGACGCCGCGUGAGUGAAGAAGUAUCUCGGUAUGUAAAGCUCUAUCAGCAGGGAAGAAAAUGACGGUACCUGACUAAGAAGCCCCGGCUAACUACGUGCCAGCAGCCGCGGUAAUACGUAGGGGGCAAGCGUUAUCCGGAUUUACUGGGUGUAAAGGGAGCGUAGACGGUUUGGCAAGUCUGAAGUGAAAUGCGGGGGCUCAACUCCUGAACUGCUUUGGAAACUGUCGAACUAGAGUGCAGGAGAGGUAAGUGGAAUUCCUAGUGUAGCGGUGAAAUGCGUAGAUAUUAGGAGGAACACCAGUGGCGAAGGCGGCUUACUGGACUGUAACUGACGUUGAGGCUCGAAAGCGUGGGGAGCAAACAGGAUUAGAUACCCUGGUA
rnacentral:rRNA from 1 species